rnacentral:lncRNA from 1 species
GCCCCCUCGCCUGGUAUCUGUGGAGAAGCCCAGGCAAGAAAGGGACUGGCAGGAAGUUCUGCGGCCGCCCGCGGUGCUCUGGAAGAAGGGCUGUAUGAGGUAAGGAUUUGCCUGAGCUUGGAAAGACAAAUCAUCCUACAAGCACUACCAAAGUAGAUUCUACCCCUCUUUUGGUGGAUUGUCAGCAAUGCCUCUGACAAUGAAGAGAA